rnacentral:rRNA from 1 species
ACCAGGUCAAGACAUGGGCGUGAUUGACAGGCUAAUGACUUUUCUCGAUUCCAUGGAUGGUGGUGCAUGGUCGCACUUAGUUGGUGCAGUGAUUUGUCAGGUUUAUUCCGGUAACGAACGAGACCUCGGCCCUUGUAAAUAGCUAUGCUGCUUACAGGGACAUUGGCGGCUACGCCAAGGAAGCUCGAGGCAAUUGCAGAUCUGGAAUGCCCUUAGAUGUCCUGGGUCGCACGCGUGCUACAAUGACGCCACGAACGAGCUUGCGUGAUGAAAGUUACGCAUAAUCAGCAGUCGGCGUCUUAAGGGAUAGUCUCUUGUAACUGUGGGACUCCAACUAGGAAUGUCUCGUAAGCACAAGUCAACAUCUUGUGUUGAUUACGUCCCUGCUCUUUGUACACACCGCCCGUCGCUCCUACCGAUCGAGUGUUUAGGUGAAAUUUGAUGGACGUAAAGGGAAAGUCAAAUAAACUUGAGCUCUAGAGGAAGGAGAAGUCGACUUU